rnacentral:rRNA from 1 species
AGCGAACGCUGGCGGCAGGCCUAACACAUGCAAGUCGAACGAACUCUUCGGAGUUAGUGGCGGACGUGUGAGUAACACGUGGGAACGUGCCUUUUGGUUCGGAAUAACUCAGGGAAACUUGUGCUAAUACCGAAUGUGCCCUUCGGGGGAAAGAUUUAUCGCCAUUAGAGCGGCCCGCGUCUGAUUAGCUAGUUGGUGAGGUAACGGCUCACCAAGGCGACGAUCAGUAGCUGGUCUGAGAGGAUGACCAGCCACACUGGGACUGAGACACGGCCCAGACUCCUACGGGAGGCAGCAGUGGGGAAUCUUGCGCAAUGGGCGAAAGCCUGACGCAGCCAUGCCGCGUGAAUGAUGAAGGUCUUAGGAUUGUAAAAUUCUUUCACCGGGGACGAUAAUGACGGUACCCGGAGAAGAAGCCCCGGCUAACUUCGUG